rnacentral:rRNA from 1 species
GUCGGCCCAGGCGUAGUAAUAAUCUUAUAUCGUUUAGGUCGGCGGCGGUGUUCUUGCCGUACAACCCCCCAAUCUACCAAUAGUUUGACCUCGGAUCAGGUAGGGAUACCCGCUGAACUUAAGCAUAUCAAUAAGCGGAGGAAAAGAAACCAACAGGGAUUGCCUUAGUAACUGCGAGUGAAGCGGCAUCAGCUCAAAUUUGAAAUCUGGCGUCUUCGGCGUCCGAGUUGUAAUUUGGAGGGGCAUCUUCGGGGAGGACGCAGGUCUAAGUUCCUUGGAACAGGACGUCAUAGAGGGUGAGAAUCCCGUCAUUGGCUUGCUGCUCCUCUCCAUGUGAAGUGCCUCCGACGAGUCGAGUUGUUUGGGAAUGCAGCUCAAAAUGGGUGGUAAACUUCAUCUAAAGCUAAAUACUGGCGAGAGACCGAUAGCGCACAAGUAGAGUGAUCGAAAGAUGAAAAGCACUUUGAAAAGAGAGUUAAAAAGUACGUGAAAUUGUUGAAAGGGAAGCGCUUGAGACCAGACUCAGCGGGAGGUGAUCAGCGGUGCUUCUGCGCCGUGCACUCGCCUUCUGUUGGGCCAGCAUCGGUUUCGGUGGCGGGAUAAAGGCCAGGGGAAUGUGGCUCCCCUCGGGGAGUGUUAUAGCCCCUGGUGCAAUGCCGCCUACCGGGACCGAGGACCGCGCUCCGGCUAGGA